CGCGUAGGCGGUUCGGUAAGUCUGACGUGAAAUCCCGGAGCUCAACUCCGGAACUGCGUUGGAUACUGCCGAGCUUGAGUGUGGGAGAGGAGAGUGGAAUUCCCAGUGUAGAGGUGAAAUUCGUAGAUAUUGGGAGGAACACCCGUGACGAAGGCGGCUCUCUGGACCACAACUGACGCUGAGGCGCGAAAGCUAGGGUAGCAAACAGGAUUAGAUACCCUGGUAGUCC
rnacentral:rRNA from 1 species